GAUGAACGCUGGCGGCGUGCCUAACACAUGCAAGUCGAACGGGUGUACAGAAGGGAAGAUUACGGUCGGAAGGUCUGUGCAUGAGUGGCGGACGGGUGAGUAACGCGUGGGCAACCUGGCCUGUACAGGGGGAUAACACUUAGAAAUAGGUGCUAAUACCGCAUAACGGGGGAAGCCGCAUGGCUUUUCCCUGAAAACUCCGGUGGUACAGGAUGGGCCCGCGUCUGAUUAGCCAGUUGGCAGGGUAACGGCCUACCAAAGCGACGAUCAGUAGCCGGCCUGAGAGGGCGGACGGCCACACUGGGACUGAGACACGGCCCAG
rnacentral:rRNA from 1 species